UCCGUAGCCGGUUCUGCAAAUACCCUGUGAAAUCGUCCCGCUCAACGGGGCGGCGUGCAGGGUAGACUACAGGACUAGGGACCAGGUGAGGUGGACGGUAUUCCGUGGGGAGCGGUAAAAUGUGAUAAUCCUCGGAGGACCACCAAUGGCGAAGGCAGUUCACCAAAAUGGAUCCGACGGUGAGGGAUGAAAGCUAGGGGAGCGAUCCGGAUUAGAUACCCGAGUAGUCCUAGCUGUAAACUCUGCGUGCCAGAUGUUGCGUAAUCUCCGAGAUUGCGCAGUGUCGUAACGAAGGUGUUAAGCACGCCACCUGGGAAGUACGGUCGCAAGGCUGAAACUUAGAGGAAUUGGCGGGGAGACACCACAACGGGUGCGGCGUGCGGUUUAAUCGUAUUCAACACCGAGAAUCUCACCAGGGGCGACGGCACAAUGACGCUCAGUCUGAAGGGCUUAGCUGAGGAGCCGAGAGGUGGUGCAUGGCCGCCGUCAGCUCGUGCCGUGAGGUGUCCUGUUAAGUCAGGCAACGAGCGAGACCUGU
rnacentral:rRNA from 1 species